CCUACGGGAGUCAGCAGUGAGGAAUAUUGGUCAAUGGACGAGAGUCUGAACCAGCCAAGUAGCGUGAAGGAUGACUGCCCUAUGGGUUGUAAACUUCUUUUAUAAAGGAAUAAAACGAGGCACGUGUGCCUUUUUGCAUGUACUUUAUGACUAAGGAUCGGCUAACUCCGUGCCAGCAGCCGCGGUAAUACGGAGGAUCCGAGCGUUAUCCGGAUUUAUUGGGUUUAAAGGGAGCGUAGAUGGGUUGUUAAGUCAGUUGUGAAAGUUUGCGGCUCAACCGUAAAAUUGCAAUUGAUACUGGCAGUCGUGAGUACAGUUGAGGUAGGCGGAAUUCGUGGUGUAGCGGUGAAAUGCUGAGAUAUCACGAAGAACCACGAUUGCGAAGGCAGCUUACUAAACUGUGACUGACAUUGAUGCUCGAAAGUGUGGGUAUCAAACAGGAUUAGAUACCCGUGUAGUC
rnacentral:rRNA from 1 species